AAGACUAUAGACCUGCGGAGUACCUGCGGAGGGAUCAUUAGAAAUGUGGGGCUGCUGUAAAGUGGCCUUCUUUUUUAACUGUGCACUGUUUUAAAUUGGGGGUGGAGCGAAAUUCAUUUCAAUCCACCGCCGCCCGGGUGGCAUCAAUCAUCUCCCUUACGGGGGCCGAGGAGUGCGCCUAAUUAUUUGACUAAUCUGACUGAUCAUUACAAUGAAAUUGUUAACAUAUAAACAACUUUU
rnacentral:misc_RNA from 1 species